GCCCGGCCGAGUGGUUAAGUGUUUGCUUUGUGUGUGAGAGGUCACGAGUUCGAAUCCGUAUAAGGGCG
rnacentral:tRNA from 1 species